CUUUAGGAAGAGGAAAGCUAUCCUGGAAUCAUCUGAUAGAGCAACUGUGAUGUCAUUUCUGUAUUUCAGGAAGUCUGGCAGACAGUUGCUUUGAUUCCUCCUCGAAGUAUUUACAGUCAGCUAUGGUCCAAAACUGCUUUUUCUUCAAGGAGAUAUAUGGAAAAGACUCUGACAAAGACUCUUGAAUACAAGUUUCUGAUAACUUCAAGAUCAUACCACUGGACUCUCUGAGAACUUUCAAAAUUUUAAUGAACAGGCUGAUACCUUCAUGAAAUUCAAGACAAAGAAGAAAAAAACUCAGUUAUAUUGGGCUUAAUAAUCAAAAAGAUAAUGUUUUCAUAAUUUUUUAUUUGAAAAUGUGCUGAUUCUUUGAAUGUUUUAUUCUCCAGAUUUAUGAACUUUCUCUCUUAAGCUCUUUAUACUUUACAACUAUUUGGUAAAUUAUACUUUUGUAAACAAAAAUGAAAACAUUUGCUUUUGCUCCCAAUCUGAGUGCCCCAGAAUUGGGAAACUAUUCAUAGUAUUCAUGAGUAUUCAUUUGCUUAGGGUAAUAAAGAUAUUUGCACAAGUUCA